rnacentral:rRNA from 1 species
GACGAACGCUGGCGGCGUGCUUAACACAUGCAAGUCGAACGGAAGGGCCCUGCUUUUGUGGGGUGCUCGAGUGGCGAACGGGUGAGUAACACGUGAGUAACCUGCCCUUGACUUUGGGAUAACUUCAGGAAACUGGGGCUAAUACCGGAUAGGAGCUCCUGCUGCAUGGUGGGGGUUGGAAAGUUUCGGCGGUUGGGGAUGGACUCGCGGCUUAUCAGCUUGUUGGUGGGGUAGUGGCUUACCAAGGCUUUGACGGGUAGCCGGCCUGAGAGGGUGACCGGCCACAUUGGGACUGAGAUACGGCCCAGACUCCUACGGGAGGCAGCAGUGGGGAAUAUUGCACAAUGGGCGGAAGCCUGAUGCAGCAACGCCGCGUGCGGGAUGACGGCCUUCGGGUUGUAAGCCGCUUUCGCCUGUGACGAAGCGUGAGUGACGGUAAUGGGUAAAGAAGCACCGGCUAACUACGUG